rnacentral:rRNA from 1 species
UGGGGAAUUUUGGACAAUGGGCGAAAGCCUGAUCCAGCAAUGCCGCGUGUGUGAAGAAGGCCUUCGGGUUGUAAAGCACUUUUGUCCGGAAGGAAAUCCUUGGCUCUAAUACAGUCGGGGGAUGACGGUACCGGAAGAAUAAGCACCGGCUAACUACGUGCCAGCAGCCGCGGUAAUACGUAGGGUGCAAGCGUUAAUCGGAAUUACUGGGCGUAAAGCGUGCGCAGGCGGUUUGCUAAGACCGAUGUGAAAUCCCCGGGCUCAACCUGGGAACUGCAUUGGUGACUGGCAGGCUAGAGUAUGGCAGAGGGGGGUAGAAUUCCACGUGUAGCAGUGAAAUGCGUAGAGAUGUGGAGGAAUACCGAUGGCGAAGGCAGCCCCCUGGGCCAAUACUGACGCUCAUGCACGAAAGCGUGGGGGAGCAAACAGGAUUAGAUACCCUGGUAGUCCACGCCCUAAACGAUGUCAACUAGUUGUUGGGGAUUCAUUCCUUAGUAACGUAGCUAACGCGUGAAGUUGACCGCCUGGGGAGUACGGUCGCAAGAUUAAAACUCAAAGGAAUUGACGGGGUCAUAGCUGUUUCCU